UAGGGAAUCUUCGGCAAUGGGGGCAACCCUGACCGAGCAACGCCGCGUGAGUGAAGAAGGUUUUCGGAUCGUAAAGCUCUGUUGUAAGAGAAGAACGUGUGUGAGAGUGGAAAGUUCACACAGUGACGGUAACUUACAAGAAAGGGACGGCUAACUACGUGCCAGCAGCCGCGGUAAUACGUAGGUCCCGAGCGUUGUCCGGAUUUAUUGGGCGUAAAGCGAGCGCAGGCGGUUUAAUAAGUCUGAAGUUAAAGGCAGUGGCUUAACCAUUGUUCGCUUUGGAAACUGUUAAACUUGAGUGCGGAAGGGGGGAGUGGAAUUCCAUGUGUAGCGGUGAAAUGCGUAGAUAUAUGGAGGAACACCGGUGGCGAAAGCGGCUCUCUGGUCUGUAACUGACGCUGAGGCUCGAAAGCGUGGGGAGCAAACAGG
rnacentral:rRNA from 1 species